rfam:Danio rerio chromosome 19 genomic contig CTG10264, GRCz11 reference primary assembly.
UUUAUUUGCCAUAUCACCCUGCAGCCCAAGACCGGUUACUAAGCUAAGCAGGGCUGAGCCUGGUCAGUACCUGGAUGGGAGACCACUAGGGAACACUAGGUUGCUGUUGGAA